rnacentral:rRNA from 1 species
GACGAACGCUGGCGGCGUGCUUAACACAUGCAAGUCGAACGGAAAGGCCCUGCUUUUGUGGGGUGCUCGAGUGGCGAACGGGUGAGUAACACGUGAGUAACCUGCCCUUGACUUUGGGAGAACUUCAGGAAACUGGGGCUAAUACCGGAUAGGAGCUCCUGCUGCAUGGUGGGGGUUGGAAAGUUUCGGCGGUUGGGGAUGGACUGGCGGCUUAUCAGCUUGUUGGGGGGGUAGUGGCUUACCAAGGCUUUGACGGGUAGCCGGCCUGGGAGCGUGACCGGGCACAUUGGGACUGAGAUACGGACCAGACUCCUACGGGCGGCAGCAGUGGGGAAUCUUGCACAGUGGGCGGACGCCUGAUGCAGCAACGCCGCGUGCGGGAUGCCGGCCUUCGGGUUGUAAACCGCUUUCGCAUGUGACGAAGCGUGCGUGACGGUAAUGGGUAAAGAAGCACCGGCUAACUACGUG